rnacentral:rRNA from 1 species
AUGGGCGCAAGCCUGAUGCAGCAACGCCGCGUGAGGGACGAAGGCCUUCGGGUUGUAAACCUCUUUUAGCAGGGAAGAAGCGAAAGUGACGGUACCUGCAGAAAAAGCACCGGCUAACUACGUGCCAGCAGCCGCGGUAAUACGUAGGGUGCAAGCGUUGUCCGGAAUUAUUGGGCGUAAAGAGCUCGUAGGCGGUGUGUCGCGUCUGCUGUGAAAAUCCAAGGCUCAACCUUGGACCUGCAGUGGGUACGGGCACACUAGAGUGCGGUAGGGGAGAUUGGAAUUCCUGGUGUAGCGGUGGAAUGCGCAGAUAUCAGGAGGAACACCAAUGGCGAAGGCAGAUCUCUGGGCCGUAACUGACGCUGAGGAGCGAAAGCGUGGGGAGCGAACAGGAUUAGAUACCCUGGUAGUCCACGCCGUAAACGGUGGGAACUAGAUGUGGGGUCCGUUCCACGGAUUCCGUGUCGCAGCUAACGCAUUAAGUUCCCCGCCUGGGGAGUACGGCCGCAAGGCUAAAAC